CCAAUUUCAAUUCGAAACCCUAAAUUCAUCUGGAACCUUUCCUAACGUCAUCAUCAUCUUCUUCUGGAUUCGUCGUAAUUUUCUUCUCCGGUCAUCGACGUCGUUCUCCUAGACAGGACAUCUUCGUUUUAUCGUUUUCUUUCGUGUUUUGAAGGCUUGUGUUACAUCAAGUGUCCUUUCAAGUAUCCGUCACUGAUCUUGAAAGUCUAUAGGUAAUGUUAGGGUUGGCAUUGCUUCAGAUACCAAAAUUUCGGAUAGUUCAGCUGCGAAUUGUUUUGACUUGGAUUUCAUUUUGAACUAUUUGAUUAUAUGAAGUAUCCAAUAGUUCAAAUAUCUGGACAUAAUCUGGUGCCCAACAUCUUUGCUAGUUUGGAUAAUGAAUGAUCCGAUCGAUAGUAUCUUAGCCAAUCAAUAUUGGAUAGAUUCGAUCUGAUCAAAUUUUGUGCUCGUCGAAUCAUGAUCAACAGCUCCAAAAUUGUGAAUCAUUUGCAGCAAUGCACACUCAGGCAGUUGAAGCAGAUCCAUGCCCUACUCAUCACUGCAUCUCUAAAUCAAGUCCACGAAAUUCGACUAAAGUUCCUCCGGCGCACCACUGAAUUCGGGGAAAUGGAGUAUCCGUUGCUGAUCUUCCAGAAAAUGCAGGAAUUAUUCAGCUCCGACGUCACCUUAUGGAAUGCCAUGAUCAGAGGCUACGCCUAUAAUGGCCCCUGUGAGAAUUGUUUAUUUCUGUUCGAUGAAAUGACUGUGAGAGGUCUAACACCAAAUAACUUCACAUACCCAUACCUGUUGAACUCCUGCAUGAAAUUAAGAGAUUUUAGAGCUGGCAAGAAGGUGCAUUGCCGAGUUAUAACAUCAGGUUUCGAGAAUGUCUUUUCAGUCGGCAAUGCUCUGUUUGAUUUGUAUGUGAAAAUGGCUGAGUCAUUAAAGUUUAGAUCGAGGGAAAACGAGGGCUUGGAUGAUGUUAGAAGGAUUUUUGAUGGCGUGGAAGAUAGAACAGUUGAAUUGUGGAAUAAAAUGGUUUGGAAAUACAUGAGUACAGGGGAUUUGACGAAUGGGAGGAAGGUGUUCGAUGAAAUGCCUGAAAGAGAUUCGGUAUCUUGGAAUACUAUGAUCUCCGGCUAUGCUAAAGCCGGGGACAUAGCGAAUGCCCGGAAUAUGUUCGAGUGUAUGCCGGAGAAGAAUGUGGUUUCUUGGACUACAAUGGUCCAGGCGUAUGCCGGCGCAGGAGACAUUGUAACAGCAAGGAUAGUGUUCGACAAAAUGCCUGAUAAGAAUGUGGUUUCUUGGAAUUGCAUGAUGUCAAGUUAUAAUCGGAUAGGGAAGUUUCGCGAGACGAUGGAUCUCUUUGUCGAGAUGCAGAAACGCGACGUGCAGGCGGAUUCUUUCACAUUUGUUGCGGCGCUGACGGCGUGUUCGAGCUUGAACGAGCUCCAGUCGGGGAAAUGGGUGCAUAGAUUGAUCGGAGAUUGGGCUAAGAUGGGUGUAAUUGUCGGCACUGCUUUGGUAGAAAUGUACGCAAGCUGUGGAGAUAUCGACACAAGUUUUACGAUAUUUAUCAAGAUUGGCGACAAAGAUGUUUUCUCGUACAAUGUAAUGAUCAAAUGUUUAGGCCUUCACGGAAGAACAUCGGAAGCAAUUAAAAUGUUCCGUCUGAUGCAGAAAAGAAGCGAUUUGACUCCAAACGAACACACUUAUUUGGCGGCGCUUUUCGCUUGCAGCCAUGGAGGUUUAGUGAAGGAAGGGCAAGAAAUAUUCGAAGAUAUGAAAACAGAUACAUCAACGAGGCCAAAGCUCGAGCAUUUUUGUUCUAUGAUCGACCUUCUCUGCAGAAAUGAUCAUUUGGAAGAAGCCCAAGUGCUGAUGAAGGAGAUGCAGGACGAACCAGAUACUGCAGUAUGGGGAGCUUUGCUCGCCGGGUACAAAGAAAGGGGCGAUAUUAAUUUUGCAGAGGGGAUUGUGCGAAUUGCUGACGAGUUGAAUCCGAAAGAGUCGGGAGUUCAUGUGCUUUUAUCGAACAUGCUUGCUUCUAUGGGUCGAUGGUCGGAUUCCCAAAGGGCGAGGAGAUUGAUGGAGGAGAAAGGGAUAUGGAAAAGAGCCGGGAUUAGUAGCAUAGGUGGAUAAUAUUUUUAGGACCGGAAUGCUCGUCUUUAAGAGGUAAAAUUGACUCUAAGCAAUCAAUAUCGAAAGUAUAAAAGCCUAAAUGCCGAUAGCGAGGAGCCUCGUCUGGAUGCCGGAAAUCGACAUAAUGAACCAUCGAAUGAGCUUACACGCGUGACAAAAAAUUCAAAGGUAACCCAUUGUCCGUGUUUGUUCUUCUAGAUUAUGCAUGGUAGUAAUAGAAUGACUUGAAGCUUCAAGACCCAUCAAAACGUCGGCAGCAUUGAUCGAGAUCUGUCGACGUGAUCGAAUAGAGCUAUUCCCGGCAACGAGAUUUUGCCGGAAACACGAGAGAAAAGCGAGGGAACUGAGGCUAUUGGUUAUGUUUAAAAUAUAAAAUAUUAUAUUCAUCGAUUAUUUUAUUUAAAAUAUAUUAUAUAAUAUUUGAUAUAAUAUUUUUGUGAUUUUCCGAAAAUGUAGAGUUUAAUUAGUAAAAAUUGAAAAAUUUAUGCCACUGAAAACACCUAUAGAUUUUUAACUACACCAGAAUUGAAUAUUAAUAGUUAAUAAUAAUUAUACAAUUAUCAUUCAACAUGUUUCGAUUAGAAAUUCAUAUAAGAAAAAAUAUAUACUAGACUAUUUAUGUUUCGAAAUUUAGAAAAUUUUAAAAAAU